CCUACGGGAGGCAGCAGUGAGGAAUAUUGGUCAAUGGCCGGAAGGCUGAACCAGCCAUGCCGCGUGAAGGUCAGUGCCCUAUGGGCGUUAAACUUCUUUUGUGCGGGAGCAAUAAUGGUCACGUGUGGCCAGACGAGAGUACCGUACGAAUAAGCAGCGGCUAACUCCGUGCCAGCAGCCGCGGUAAUACGGGGGAUGCAAGCGUUAUCCGGAUUUACUGGGGGUACAGGGCGUGUCGGCGGGAACGCAAGUCAGAUUUGCAACCCAUGGGCUCAACCUGUGGCCUGCAUGUGAAACUGUUGUUCUUGAGUACUGGCGAGGCAGCCGGACUGCCUAGUGUAGCGGUGAAAUGCGUAGAUAUUAGGAGGAACACCAGUGGCGAAGGCGGUCUGCUGGACAGCAACUGACGCUGAGGCGCGAAAGCGUGGGGAGCAAACAGGAUUAGAUACCCUUGUAGUC
rnacentral:rRNA from 1 species